AACGCACCUUGCGCCCUUUGGCUAUUCCGAAGGGCAUGCCUGUUUGAGUAUCAUGAACAUCUCAACUCUCAUGGUUUGCCAUGAUGAGCUUGGACUUUGGGGGUCUUGCUGGUCUAUGGCCAGCUCCUCUCAAAUGGAUCAGCUUGCCAGUGUUUGGUGGCAUCGCAGGUGUGAUAACUAUCUACGCUUGUGGUUUUCCACCAGAUAACCUUCAGCAAUGGAGGUUCGCUGGAGCUCAUAAAUGUCUUUCCUCAGUGAAGACAGCUUUUUGAACGUUUGAUCUCAAAUCAGGUAGGACUACCCGCUGAACUUAA
rnacentral:misc_RNA from 1 species